AAUAAGAUCAUUUUCACUUUUUUUAUACAAUAUUUUGACUCUUCGUCUUGUUUGAAAUUUUUUUACGAUUAAUAUUUUUAUUCUUAUUAGAUGAUAAAACAUGAAUAGUACUUUAUGCGUGACUAAUUUUUUAAGUUUUUGUAUAAAUUUUUUAAAUAAGACGAAUGGUCAAAUAUUGGACAUGGAAAAAC
rfam:Oryza brachyantha chromosome 1, whole genome shotgun sequence.